CGGUGUGUGAUUUAUCUUUACUACUGAUAGGAGGUUUAAUAGUUGCCCAUUUGAAUAGUAAUUAUUCCAUAAUACUGGCAGAGAUUGGCAUUUGCAAUACAGUCUCUAAAUGUUGCAGAGCAGUUUUUUCUUUCUAGAGUCCUCACAUUAUUAUUUGAAAAUUAAAUGCUUGUGCAUACUGGUUUUUCUGAUGUUUAUUUUUCAAUCUUUUGAAUAUUUUGUUUGAAACCAAAGAAGUUUUCUCAUGAUCUAAGUAUGUUUAUCAACAAUGUGGACUCUACAAAAUACAUUUUAAUUUCAGUUGAUGAAAGUACUUGGAGGAAAGGAAUUAAACUGUCAAAGCUGGAUUAAGAAUAAAUACAAUAUAAUACUUAUAGUAUAAGCAAAUUGUUUGUUGACUUUGGGAACUUUUUCUCUAAAACAUUAAAGCAGAUCCUGGUCAUCCAAAGAGAGUCAUUAGAAAAAAUGAAGAUAUAAAACCCACAUUUAAAUCUAAGAAAAAUGAAAAAGGAGGCAAAAAACCUAAUAAAACUGGCGUGAAACAUUGGAAAAGUAAGCAACUCUCAGGGAAUGUUUCCAGAAAGCGCAAAUUUCAAGGUGAUACAGAAGGCUCCCAACCUAAAAAGCCUAAGUGGGCUGACAUCAAGAAGAAAAAGAAGGAAAUAAAACAGAGCCGCCAGCUGAAUGAGAAGACCAAUUAUGACAUAAUUAUUAAAGGAAAACAGAUUUGGGAAGCUCUACGUCG